GGAGAUUUAGCUCAGCGGUAGAGUGUUUGCCUAGCAAGCGCAAGGCCCUGGGUUUGGUCCCCAGCUCCG
rnacentral:tRNA from 1 species